UACGUAGGUGGCGAGCGUUGUCCGGAUUUACUGGGCGUAAAGAGCGCGCAGGCGGCUGGUCAAGUCCGAUGUGAAAGCUCCCGGCUUAACUGGGAAAUUGCAUCGGAAACUGAUCGGCUGGAAGGUGGGAGAGGGUAGCGGAAUUCCCGGUGUAGUGGUGAAAUGCGUAGAUAUCGGGAGGAACACCAGUGGCGAAAGCGGCUACCUGGCCCAUUCU
rnacentral:rRNA from 1 species